rnacentral:rRNA from 1 species
ACAAUUAGCUGUUGGGACACUAGAUGUCUUAGUAGCGAAGCUAACGCGUGAAAUUGUCCGCCUGGGGAGUACGGUCGCAAGAUUAAAACUCAAAGGAAUUGACGGGGACCCGCACAAGCGGUGGAUGAUGUGGAUUAAUUCGAUGCAACGCGAAGAACCUUACCUGGUCUUGACAUGUACGGAAUCUCUUAGAGAUAGGAGAGUGCCUUCGGGAGCCGUAACACAGGUGCUGCAUGGCUGUCGUCAGCUCGUGUCGUGAGAUGUUGGGUUAAGUCCCGCAACGAGCGCAACCCUUGUCAUUAGUUGCCAUCAUUAAGUUGGGCACUCUAAUGAGACUGCCGGUGACAAACCGGAGGAAGGUGGGGAUGACGUCAAGUCCUCAUGGCCCUUAUGACCAGGGCUUCACACGUCAUACAAUGGUCGGUACAGAGGGUAGCGAAGCCGCGAGGUGAAGCCAAUCUCAGAAAGCCGAUCGUAGUCCGGAUUGCACUCUGCAACUCGAGUGCAUGAAGUCGGAAUCGCUAGUAAUCGCAGGUCAGCAUACUGCGGUGAAUACGUUCCCGGGUCU